UAUGAAUUUGCAGGGAGACACAAACAUUUAGUCUACAAGAGUCUGUCACAAUACUGGGUAUUUUGAUACAUGGUUAUUCUACCUCACAAUCUUAUAAGAUCAAAAUGGCCAAGAGAAACGUCCAACCACGUCACUGAACUUCUAUGACUGAUACCCAACUGCUGCUGUCACCUGCUGCUUAAAAACCAUGACUCACAGGAACAGAAAAUCUAUCCCAGUAGUGGAAUUGCUGUGUCCACAAUGAGAUGCUACCUCACACCUGUUAGGAUGACUAUUACCAAAAGACAAAGAUAACAAAUGAUGACAGCAUGGAGAAAAGGAGACUCUAGUACACUGUUGGUGGGAAUGUCAAUUGCUGCAGCCACUAUGGAAAAAAUAUGGAAGUUCUUUAAAAAAAUAGAAAUAGAGGUGAUGGGAAGACAGCUAAUUGGUGUGUCUGUGCAUAAUUGGGGUCAUGAUAGAGGAAGCAGGAGUAUAGAUGGGCCAGUGAGUACCAGUUGAGAGAACAGGAGUGGCUGAGAUUUAUAAGGAAGUAAGUAGAAAGAGU